CUUUUUCCUCUUUUGAUGGUGUGAGAGGAUCUGUCCGUCAGCUGAGAGACAAACUGGAGGAUUUCUGCAAAGAGGAGCUCAAGAAGAUCUCUGACAGAGUCACUUUCACCAACAUUGUUCCCAGGACCAGGUACGACUUCUUACAAUAUUACCAUCAGCUCACUCUGGAUCUGAACACAGCACAUAAAUACCUGCGUCAGACUGAGGAGAACAGAGUGAUUACUCUCACUAACAGAGUCCAGCCAUAUCCUGAUCAUCCAGACAGAUUUGAAGGGUGUCAGGUGUUGUGUAGAGAGAGUGUGUGUGGACGCUGUUACUGGGAGAUUGAGUGGAGUGGGCAUCAUUCGGAGGGAAUACAAUGAUUUGACGAACAUUGUAUUAUCCUACGCCUUCCACAGAUCAUCGAGGCAUGGACUCAACUAGACCCCUGAAGGUGUGCUGUAGUAUCUGAUACCAAGAUGUUAGCAGCAGAUCCUUUAAGAUCCCAAGCAGAUCCCAACUUGUAAGUUGCAAGGUGGAGCCUCCAUGGAUCGGAUUUAUUUGUCCAGCACAUCCCACAGAUGCUCGAUUGAAUUGAGAUCUGGGGAAUUUGAAGGCCAAGUCAACACCUCAAACUCGUUGUUGUGCUCCUCAAACCAUUCCUGAACCAUUUUUGCUUUGUGGCAGGGUGCAUUAUUCUGCUGAAAGAGGCCACAGCCACCAGGGAAUACCGUUUCCAUGAAAGGGUGUACAUGGUCUGCAACAAUGCUUAGGCAUGUGGUACAUGUCAAAGUAACAUCCACAUGGAUGGCAGGACCCAAGGUUUCCCAGCAGAACAUUGCCCAAAGCAUCACACUGCCUCUGCCGGCUUGCCUUCUUCCCAUAGUGCAUCCUGGUGCCAUGUGUUCCCCAGGUAAGCAACGCACACACGGGCCAGCCUUUGCUCCCCACAUGCAUCAGUGAUCCUGUUGCCGGUUCACCACUGUUCCUUCCUUGGACCACUUUUGAUAGAUACUGACCACUGCAGACUGGGAACACCCCACAAGAGCUGCAGUUUUGGAGAUGCUCUGACCCAGUUGUCUAGCCAUCACAAUUUGGCCCUUGUCAAAUUUGAUCAAAUCCUUAUGCUUGCCCAUUUUUCCUGCUUCUAACACAUCAACUUUGAUGACAAAAUGUUCACUUGCAGCCUAAUAUAUCCCACCCACUAACAGGUGCCGUGAUGAAGAGAUAAUCAGUGUUAUUCACUUCACCUGUUAGUGCUCAUAAUGUUAUGCCUGAUCAGUGUAUAUAUACAUACAUAUUUAGACCACUUAACUUAGUGAUUUCUAUCAGGAUGUAAAGAAACUUUCAACCAGUUUCUUUACAUCCUGAACAGGAUUUUUCAAAAAAAAUAAAAAAAAAUAAAAUAAAAAAAAAUUCUGGAACAAAUGACUUACCCUGCCUUUAAUAGGACUAAAUCAUGUGACACAUCCUACUAACCUGAGCUCCACCUUUCAUUCUGGGAAACAGUAUCAACAAUAAUGUCAACUUAUGACAUAAAAUUUGCCUUAUCUCAGAGGACUAACCUGAAAACAAGAGAGCAAAGUGCAAAAGAAGGAUGGAGGAUUGGAAUUUUUUUGUAAAACAAUAUCAUAUACUUUUACCUUUGCACUAUGUCUGUAUAUUUUUUUUUUAGAUUAAAAUUUACGGUGACUGGGAAGGGACAUGUUCAGUUCACUUAGUUUUGUCGUGGCCAUAGUAAGUAUAUGUAGUUAAAUAUUAUUACUCAGUACUCAAGUGUCUAAUUUUAUAGUAACAGGGACACCGUAAAAUAAAGUGUAACCAUAUAAAUAACAGAUUACCGCAACAUAGCAGCACUAAUUAUGAACCAACCCAAAGGAAAUAUUGCUAAAGCAAAGUAUAUUCUGUGAAGACGCUCAGUGUUUAUAAUCAUUGAUAGACAGUGCUGACAUAUUUCUUGUUGUAUCAGUAAUCCUACUGAUAGUUAGAAAUCGUGCACGCCACUCCCUCUGCACGCCACUGUGCAUCAGUAUAUUCGUUCACGGGGAAUCAAAACUUGCAUUUCUUGCAGCAUGAUCUACCAGUCGAUUUCUAUGGAAGCCGUUUCCGCCACUAAAUAAAAAAAUAAAAACAGUAAUUACGACUUUGUAUUCUGACUUUUUUUUCUCACAAUUGCGAGUUAUAAAGUCAGAAUUCUGAGAUAUAAACUCGCAAUUGUGUGAAACUGCACAUUGUGUGAAUUGUGUGUGAACUGCGAUAUAUAAACUGCAGUUUAUAUAUCACGCAAUUGCGAGUAUAUAUCUCAGAAUGGUGACUUUAUAACUCGCAACUGUGAGAAAAAACGGGCUUCCAUAGGAUUUCCCCAAUCACUGAGGAGGGUAAGCAGAUAUUUCUAAUGUUUUUGAUACUUAGGGAUAGUUUUUUUUUUUCCUUUUCCUAAAUCCAUAAAUAACAUCCUUUUAAACUGUGACAUUGUCAUAGGAUCACAAGAUGGCAGGAUUACACUUUCUUUGUGGAAAAUAGUCAGUUUGCUUUAUCUGUGACAUUUAGCCAUUUUAAAAGACCUUUUAAAUUGUAUUCUUUUAUAUAUCGCUCAGACCAUAAUUAUCGUUUUACAAACUGUGUAUAUAUACAGUUCAAAAGUACAGGUUUUCUAAGAUUUUUUUUUUUUUUUUAAUUAAUACUUUUAUAUGGCAAGUGUGCAUUAAAUGGAUCAAACAUGACAGUAAAGACAUUUAUAAUAGAUUUAAAUUUCAAAUAAAUGCUGUUCUUUCUAUUCGUCAAAGAAUCCUGAAAAUCUUAAUAAUGCAUGUUUCUUAAGCAGCAAAUCAGCAUGUUAGAAUGAUUUCUGAAGGAUCAUGUGACACUGAAGACUGGAGUAAUGAUGCUGAAAAUUCAGCUUUGAUCACAGGAAUAAAUUACAUUAUAAAAUACAAUAUAUAUAAGCAAUCAUACUGAAACCAAACUUUUGAAAGAUAGUGUGUUUCUGACAGGGGGUAUGGCUCUGUUCGGGGCAAGAACUCCCUUCAAAACUGCAAAAGGCUAUGAUUUCAUUGAAUAAAUAUGAGCUCUGGCACAUUCCGUCUGAUGGAAACAGAGAACAAGAUUCUUAUGGAACUUGAUAAAGAUGACAUCAUUGACAAGAUGGCAGAGAGCAGUAAGCUACUGCGCCACCUACAGGUUUACUAGUGCCAAUUACUUUCUGUUUACUCUUACUGUUUUUUUCUUAUGCUAUCUGUGAGUGAACAUUGUAAUCUGUUGUUACUUAUCUGUUGUUGUAGUUCAUUUUUGUGUGUAUUUGUGUUUCUGAUACUUUUGAUAUACUUGAGCAUUGGAAAUACAUACAUUUCAAUGUUUGAACUGUUUAUCUCUCAUUAUCUCUUUUUAAAAAGUGUAAGCCAAUUGUAUAUUAGUCUGUAUGGUAGUAUAGAUGGUGUAUACCUAGUGAGUUUUUGAGGGUUCAUCUAUAGAUAUAUAUAGUGUACCUUGACAACUCAGUAUGAAGAUAGAUCACUUGUUGGUCAGUGCCAUUUUUUUGUUGGGAAUUUAUAAUUCGUCUGGUAGUCUACCUGAUACAACAACUAAUAGGUGAUUGCAGUCAAUCAAUAGAAAAUGUAAGUAUGUUGUUAGGAUUAUUUGUCUUGGAAUAAAUUGUAACCCUCUUGAAAUUGCAGUGAAGAAAAUGAAACAAAACCAAAACAACAAUACCAACAAUAAUUCAAACAGUAAACCCUAAAACAACAAAAGUAUCAGAAUUCAAAAUCUAUUCAAUAGUCGGAAUCAGAUUCCAAAUUACAAAAUCAGUUUCUGGAAUUAAACCUCAAUUCCCAAUUUCAAUAUUUAGAUACUCAGUUUCAAAAUCAGUGUCUCAAUUUCAAAUUUGGUUUCUCAAAUUCAAUAUCAGUUUCUCAAUACCAAGUUCAGUGUUUCAGUUUCAAGUUUAGAGUCUCAAUAUCAAGUUCAAAAAGUUAAUGGAAAGUAAUGUUUAUCAAAUAAAUUAAAAAAAUCUAGUCCAUGAGGAAAAACUUAAUGUUUGAUCCAGGAAAAUCCAGGAAAGCAAAAAUUGGAAAAGGUUCAAAGUGAAAAUAGUUCUGUCCUACCAGAUUGGCAAAUUCACUCUUGUUUUGCUCUGUUUCCAGGCACGAAAUGAUGGGAUGGCUCGCCAGACCAAACCAAGAAUAAGAAUUUGCAGCGCGGACAGGAUUCAGGAUCACAGCAUCAAUCAUUCAGCAUAUCAAAGAGAAAAGAGGAAUAAUAAUAAUAAUAAUAAUAAUAAUAAUAAUAUUAAUAAUAAUAAUAAUAAAACAGCCUUGCAAAAACAAAGCCAAAAACAGUCAUUAGUAUUACUCAAUCAUUCAAAUAAACCGUUUGAAAUUCACUAAAUUGUAGAGUUUCACUCAUCUGCAUAAAUAAAAU